UACGAAGGGGGCUAGCGUUGCUCGGAAUCACUGGGCGUAAAGCGCACGUAGGCGGCUUCUUAAGUCAGGGGUGAAAUCCUGGAGCUCAACUCCAGAACUGCCCUUGAUACUGAGGAGCUCGAGUCCGGAAGAGGUGAGUGGAACUGCGAGUGUAGAGGUGAAAUUCGUAGAUAUUCGCAAGAACACCAGUGGCGAAGGCGGCUCUCUGGGACGGUACUGACGCUGAGACGCGAAAGCGUGGGGAGCGAACAGG
rnacentral:rRNA from 1 species